rnacentral:rRNA from 1 species
UACGAAGGGGGCUAGCGUUGCUCGGAAUCACUGGGCGUAAAGCGCACGUAGGCGGCUUUUUAAGUCAGGGGUGAAAUCCUGGAGCUCAACUUCAGAACUGCCUUUGAUACUGAGAAGCUUGAGUCCGGGAGAGGUGAGUGGAACUGCGAGUGUAGAGGUGAAAUUCGUAGAUAUUCGCAAGAACACCAGUGGCGAAGGCGGCUCACUGGCCCGGUACUGACGCUGAGGUGCGAAGGCGUGGGGAGCAAACAGG